rnacentral:rRNA from 1 species
AUGCACGCUGGCGGCGUGCCUCAUCCAUGCAAGUCGAGCGAACAGACGAGGAGCUUGCUCCUCUGACGUUAGCGGCGGACGGGUGAGUAACACGUGGAUAACCUACCUAUAAGACUGGGAUAACUUCGGGAAACCGGAGCUAAUACCGGAUAAUAUAUUGAACCGCAUGGUUCAAUAGUGAAAGACGGUUUUGCUGUCACUUAUAGAUGGAUCCGCGCCGCAUUAGCUAGUUGGUAAGGUAACGGCUUACCAAGGCAACGAUGCGUAGCCGACCUGAGAGGGUGAUCGGCCACACUGGAACUGAGACACGGUCCAGACUCCUACGGGAGGCAGCAGUAGGGAAUCUUCCGCAAUGGGCGAAAGCCUGACGGAGCAACGCCGCGUGAGUGAUGAAGGUCUUCGGAUCGUAAAACUCUGUUAUUAGGGAAGAACAAAUGUGUAAGUAACUAUGCACGUCUUGACGGUACCUAAUCAGAAAGCCACGGCUAACUACGUG